AUAGGUUCCAUGCUUGUUGACAAAAUGUUCUUGCAUAUAAACAGGAUCAUCAUCAUCCCUACCUUUCUCACGUAUAAUGACACUACAGUACUCCUCUUUGUCAGGUUCUUUUGCAAUUAUGCCUUAAUAACUUCUUUCUCUUCCCUGUCAUCUGUUUUGUGUUUUAUUUUUCUCGCUCUACAGUGUGUUUCUGAUGGUUUACACUGAAGCUUGAUGUUAUGAGAUCUCAGUUGCCACAGCAACAUCCGUGGAUGUAGUUACUGUCUCCAUUCUCCUCGGCCUUAAUUCCUUGUCUGUCAUUUGCAUAGAAAUAACAUUCGCCAGAAAGGAUCUUCCCCUAUUGGAGUAUGCGGUUGAUGUUUAGCCAGCUUGCCUUUCUAACGGCAUUCGACAACUCUGCUCUGAACUCACUGUUCUGGAUCGGGGCUAACUACCAUCACCCCGUCGACCUCCGUCGACCUCACUCUGGAGAGUGCACUGCCCCGAUCCAGAGCAUAGCCAGACCCAGAGUCCAGCCCACCAUCUCCCCGCUGUGUGGAGCCCAAGCCCGAGCCCACCGAUGAUGGAGAGCCUGAGCCCGCCACGACCGAUCUGCCAUUGCCAUGCGGAGUGACAGAGCUGAGGAUUGCCG
ensembl:lncRNA